AACGAACGCUGGCGGCAGGCCUAACACAUGCAAGUCGAACGCCCGUAGCAAUACGGGAGUGGCAGACGGGUGAGUAACGCGUGGGAACGUGCCCUUCGGUUCGGAAUAACUCAGGGAAACUUGAGCUAAUACCGGAUACGUCCGUAAGGAGAAAGAUUUAUCGCCGAAGGAUCGGCCCGCGUCGGAUUAGCUAGUUGGUGGGGUAACGGCCUACCAAGCCUACGAUCCGUAGCUGAUCUGAGAGGANGAUCAGCCACACUGGGACUGAGACACGGCCCAGACUCCUACGGGAGGCAGCAGUGGGGAAUCUUGGACAAUGGGCGCAAGCCUGAUCCAGCCAUGCCGCGUGAGUGAAGAAGGCCUUAGGGUUGUAAAGCUCUUUUACCAGGGACGAUAAUGACGGUACCUGGAGAAUAAGCCCCGGCAAACUUCGUGCCAGCAGCCGCUGUAAC
rnacentral:rRNA from 1 species